AAAAAAGUCACUUUUUGACUUUUAUAAUAUAGGGUUUCUUAAAAUGUACCUGAAGUGUGGAAGGUUGAUCGAGCAUGCCUAAGUGCUUGCGCACUAGUUUUUGAUGCCGAUUACACUCCAAAAAUGACAAGACUUUUGCAGAAGAAUCGAGAGCUGCAGUUGUUAUUGUGGUAGAUAUGUUUAAUUAUCGAACAGGCUUAUGAACAAACAUUUCUUCAGGAAAAAAAAAAAUUCUCUAGAGUUGUUACAGUAAUAGUAAAUGUGCUUAGGAUGUAUCGUAUACAUUAUAGAUUUCCGAUAAUUUAUGUGAAGUUGUUGUUAUCAGCAUUUGAGUUACAUUACACCAAGUAAUGGGUUUCACUAUGACGCAAAAGGAAUGGAAGUAAUCAUUGUUAGGGGGACUUUCUUAUCUAUACCAGCAGUGUUGUUGAUGGAGUUGGGUGGACAAAGCUUAGUAUCAUCAGAAGAAUACUAUCUCUUUAUUGGAAUAAGUUUGCUACUUGCUAGUGUGGAAGUUUGGGGUGACCAGUUGCAAAUUUAAAGAAUUCUUAUAAGCAGAUAGAUACACAUUGACACCAUCGUCACUCGACACAAGCUACAUCUUCAUCUCAUUCUCAGCCUUGGCUUAAAUCCCUCAUAGUAGGACAUAGGUGGAAGCAAGUCCAUCUCGUAGCAUCUCUAUUGGUUCAGGGAAUGCUGAUAUUUGGGGUUAGACGACCAGUGGUGUUAUUAAAGAUGUUUAAGGAGAGGUGGCAGAGUUGAUGCUGGUGUAUUUUGCAUUAUAUUUUUUCUCAAGUGUUUUUUUGACAAUGUUACUUAGUGUGCACCGGAUAUUGUUAUCAAUGUGUGAUGCGCAAUU